rnacentral:rRNA from 1 species
GACGAACGCUGGCGGCGUGCUUAACACAUGCAAGUCGAACGGUAAGGCCUUCGGGUACACGAGUGGCGAACGGGUGAGUAACACGUGGGUGAUCUGCCCUGCACUUUGGGAUAAGCCUGGGAAACUGGGUCUCAUACCGAAUACACCCUGCUGGCUGCAUGGCCUGGUGGGGGAAAGCUUUUGCGGUGUGGGAUGGGCUCGCGGCCUAUCAGCGUGUUGGUGGGGUGAUGGACGAACAAGGCGACGACGGGUGGCCGGCCUGAGAGGGUGACCGGGCACACUGGGACUGAGAUACGGCCCGGACUCCUACGGGAGGGAGCAGUGGGGAAGAUUGCACAAUGGGCGCAAUCCUGAUGCGGCGGCGCCGCGUGGGGGAUGACGGCGUUCGGGUUGUAAACCUCUUUCAGUGCCGACGAAGCGCAAGUGACGGUAGGCACAGAAGAAGGGCCGGCCAACUACGUGCCAGCCGCCGCAGUAA